ensembl:lncRNA
UGCCUCUUGACCCCCAGGCUCUGCCCCAGCAGUUGUAGGAGCUGUCCCAUUGGUCGAGAGACGUCGUUCCUCUGGAUGCUCUUGACCACGCUGUGGAGUAGCUCCUCCCCAAACGGACGCUCCGCCUCGCUCACAGGACGACACAACGGGUAGCCCACACCUGGAGGCAGGGGUCAGGGGUCAGAAAGAUGGAUAUGUAGGCUACACUAAUACACACUUCAUACAUAACAAACGUGUCCACACACACACACGUAGGUAUGCAAGACCGAUCACACACACACACACACACACAGUAAAACACAGAUGCUAACCCAUUCUCAAAUACAGGAGUAGAUAAUACAGGAGUGUAUUUGAGAGCCAACUAGACGAAGACACACAUUUAAAAUGUUGGAAGAACUGAAGAAAAGGAAAUCACUAGAAACAACAUCAUUUAGACAAGUCGAUCAAAGACAUCCCACAGAAUUCCCAAGACUGUCAGGCGAGUGGAAAACAGCAAUACAGCGAUGCAUUUUCAACCACAUAAAGUAACCGAGGACAGAGAAAACGAAAACAGGUUUUCCCAAAAUGACGACAAGGAGAACAAAAAGGGUGCAGCAAAGCAGAGAAGAGCAGACAGGACACACACAGAGAGAGACAAAGGAGAGAGACUCGGCUGUCGAGUCCUAAAGAGAACACUCACUGUCUAACAACAGAGCACAAUUAAGCCCUGAAAGACAGAGAACAGAGAGAACAACAGACCCCUGUUAGCUCCCAGACAUUAGUAACCGAGGACAGUAACCGAGGACAGAGAAAACAAAAACAGGUUUUCAGUACACAGAGAUCCAAAAUGGCUGCCACAUAGCUGCCCAUGGUUCAGAGCUCUUCCAUCUGCCAAAGUUAGGCUACAAAGCUAGGCUACAAAGCUAGGCUACAAAGCUAGGCUUCAAAGCUAGGCUACAAAGUUAGGCUACAAAGUUAGGCUACAAAGUUAGGCUACAAAGUUAGGCUACAAAGUUAGGCUACAAAGCUAGGCUACAAAGUUAGGCUACAAAGUUAGGCUACAAAGCUAGGCUACAAAGCUAGGCUACAAAGCUAGGCUACAAAGUUAGGCUACAAGACAUCCACAAUUCAUACAGAUAUGCUCUUCUUAAAACCACAGUAAAAUAUAAACAUG